rnacentral:rRNA from 1 species
UACAGAGGUCUCAAGCGUUUGUUCGGAUUCAUUGGGCGUAAAGGGUGCGUAGGUGGCGCUGUAAGUCGGGUGUGAAAUUUCGGAGCUUAACUCCGAAACUGCAUUCGAUACUGCGGUGCUUGAGGACUGGAGAGGAGACUGGAAUUCUGGUGUAGCAGUGAAAUGCGUAGAGAUCAUGAGGAAGACCAGUGGCGAAGGCGGGUCUCUGGACAGUUCCUGACACUGAGGCACGAAGGCCAGGGGAGCAAACGGG